UAGGGAAUCUUCGGCAAUGGACGGAAGUCUGACCGAGCAACGCCGCGUGAGUGAAGAAGGUUUUCGGCUCGUAAAGCUCUGUUGUUAGAGAAGAACGUUGGUAGGAGUGGAAAAUCUACCAAGUGACGGUAACUAACCAGAAAGGGACGGCUAACUACGUGCCAGCAGCCGCGGUAAUACGUAGGUCCCGAGCGUUGUCCGGAUUUAUUGGGCGUAAAGCGAGCGCAGGCGGUUCUUUAAGUCUGAAGUUAAAGGCAGUGGCUUAACCAUUGUACGCUUUGGAAACUGGAGGAGAUGAGUGCAGAAGGGGAGAGUGGAAUUCCAUGUGUAGCGGUGAAAGGCGUAGAUAUAUGGAGGAACACCGGUGGCGAAAGCGGCUCUCUGGUCUGUAACUGACGCUGAGGCUCGAAAGCGUGGGGAGCAAACAGG
rnacentral:rRNA from 1 species